CUCAAUCAACGGAUACCAAGGAUCAACCAUAGGAAACGGUAGACAAGUGAGUUCCACUCUCUUACUAAGCCAGUCAUCAAACGGAGGAAAAGACCUGUUAUUGGCUCUGCCCCAAGAAAACUUGCCUUUCCUCUGAAUACUGCGCCAUGCAUCAGAUACUUGCUUCAACCUGGCCUGAUUGCCCUCAGCUGGGAAGUACAAAGUUUCCUGAACCUCACUCUUGAACGGAGGAAGCUCCAUAGCGAAUCCCAUUUGUCUCUUAA
rnacentral:lncRNA from 1 species